rnacentral:rRNA from 1 species
GACGAACCGUGCGAACGUUGUUCGGAAUUACUGGGCGUAAAGGGCGCGUAGGCGGCCGAUCAAGUCAGAUGUGAAAGUCCUGGGCUUAACCUGGGGACUGCAUUUGAUACUGAUUGGCUUGAAUGCAGGAGAGGAUAGCGGAAUUCCCAGUGUAGAGGUGAAAUUCGUAGAUAUUGGGAAGAACACCGGUGGCGAAGGCGGCUAUCUGGACUGUGAUUGACGCUGAGGCGCGAAAGCGUGGGGAGCAAACAGG